UCCCCUAGUAACUGCGAGUGAAGAGGGAAAAGCUCAAAUUUAAAAUCUGGCAGUCUAUGGCUGUCCGAGUUGUAAAUUAGAGAAGUGUUAUCCGCUCAAGCCUGUGCAAAAGUCCCUUGGAAAAGGGCAUCAUAGAGGGUGACAAUCCCGUCUUUGGCACAGAUCACUUGCGCUUUUGUGAUGCGCUCUCAAUGAGUCGAGUUGUUUGGGAAUGCAGCUCCAAAUGGGUGGUAAAUUCCAUCUAAAGCUAAAUAUUGGCGAGAAACCGAUAGCGCACAAGUACCGUGAGGGAAAGAUGAAAAGAACUUUGAAAAGAGAGUUAAACAGUACGUGAAAUUGUUGAAAGGGAAACGCUUGGAGUCAGUCGUGUUCUGCGGAAUCAACUUAACCUUUGGUUGAGUGUACUUUUCGUAGGAUGGGUCAGCAUCAAUUUUGAUUGUUGGAAAAAGGACUAGGGAAUGUGGCAUCUUUGGAUGCGUUAUAGCCCUUGUUUGUAUACAAUGAUUGGGAUUGAGGAACUCAGUGUGACUUUUGUUUGGGGGCUUUGCCUCACAUCACACACUUAGGAUGCUGGCAUAAUGGCUUUAAUCGACCCGUCUUGAAACACGGACCAAGGAGUCUAACAUGCAUGCAAGUGUUUGGGUGGAAAACUCAAGCGCGUAAUGAAAGUGAAAGUUGAGAACCCUGUCGUGGGGUGCAUCGACACCCGGUCUUGAYCUUUUGUGAUGACCUGCGGUAGAGCAUGUAUGUUGGGACCCGAAAGAUGGUGAACUAUGCCUGAAUAGGGUGAAGCCAGAGGAAACUCUGGUGGAAGCUCGUAGCGAUUCUGACGUGCAAAUCGAUCGUCGAAUUUGGGUAUAGGGGCGAAAGA
rnacentral:rRNA from 2 species